CAAAAUGGCUACAAGCACAGCCAUGGUAUUUAGAAACAUUCAGCAUUGAGAAUUUCAUAGCAAUAUUCUCAUUCAACACUAAUGAAAAGGGAAUCGACAUGAGGGUUUUCUACCUUGAUAUUCGUCAAUUUUAAAUAGGUAUUACAAUUAGCUAUGAGGUGGCCGAUUUAAGAUUUAGUUGAUAGAGGUUGACAAGAAACUAUACAAACUGUGAUAGAAUACAGAUGUAUUUUGCAACAUCUAGAAAUAAUUGAAAGUUGAAAAUUUCCAUUUUUUCCCCUCUAAAUGUUGGUAAUAACCCAUUAAGAAUAGUACCAGUAAGAACCGGCAAUGCAUGAUUUCAUAAAUUAGAUCCAAGCUCGACACAGAUUGAUCCGCAUCAUGUGAACCUUUUUCUUGGUCAUAAGCCACUGACAUCUAAAAACUAACGAGCAUACAUUACUUUACACCGACUGAGGCCAUCAGGUCUUCGUACUCUGGAUCACUCUCCUGUUUCUGAAUCUUUGCUCUGUUACUGCUUAAAUGAGUAUUAAGAGAAACAGAUGUUGGCGAGAAGGGAUCAUACACUUGCUGUACUCCAGAAGCUCUAGAAGAUAGCCCAGCAGCAGGUUGAAAGGAAAUAUUACUGUUAAUAUGUUGAUUUGGAGCAACAAAACUUGGCGGCCUAGUUGCCGAUGGAGGGUAGUUUUGCUGAAUUUGCAUUGGGCCCCCUGCUCGAGGAAUUCCAUCUGCAUUGACGAAUGGGGAUCUAAAUUGAAGUUUCUUGGUUGCAGUAGAGGAGCAGCAUUCGAACCUGGAAAUGGUGCAUGCCUAGGUGGACCCAGAAGCGCUGUUGGACUACUGGGAAAGUUAACAGACGUUUGAGCUCUAGGCUGCAUCAUUUGAUUGCCAACAUUAGGCCUAGAAAACCCUGGAUUUGCAGGUGGUAGUCUCAACAUGUGCAUUCCUGGCUGAACAGGUGAAAUCUGAGAUUCCUGAUAUGGCUGUGCUGAUUGAUUUGGAUGUAAAAGUAUAGGUUGAGUAUUUGGUCUAUGAGCAACUUCAAGGGCUGGAUUGUGUGGCCGGUGAGGCUGAAAAGUAAAAUCAUUUGAGCUGGGUUGCUGUGGUCUGGGAGCAGUCAUAUUUGCAGGGUUAAUGGCAUUAAAACUGACAGCACCAGCAGGACCAGAAUUAGGAAUUCCUGAAGCUGGAUGUAGUAGUGUUGAUGAAGAUGUCACUGGUGAAAGAAGAGGGGUGGAUCCUGGUACCACAUUGGGAGAUGAAUUAGGUAUCACAGCUCGUGCAUAACAGACUGCAUGGGACCAGGUACUUUUGCUGCUGAAGGUAGUGGAGAAAGUGAAAGCCCCUGUUGGAAGUGGGAACUAGAGUUGAAGUAUGGGACAUUUGCGGGAUGAUUAACUGCAGCACCAGCUGACUGCAAAGCAGAUUGCUGGGUAAUUGGAAAGAUAUUUGGCGGUGCAGCUCUGGACACAGCCAAAGGAUGAGAAGCCAUGGAGGGGUGGCCCUGCAGACCAGUUGUUGCAGGGGUCAUUGACAUCAUAUUUCCAGCUCCAAUGGAUGUUGGAGUGUUCACUGGUACUAUAGAUGAUCCAGCAUAAGGUGGCUGGUAAGAAAUAGAUAUUGAACUCCCAAACUGGGUGGGCCCAGUUGGUGCUGACUGGUUAGUAGAUAAUUGUGGUGAUGUGACAUUUGAUUGAAUAGGUGCAGGUUGUGAAGCUGACAAAGGUGGCGGAUGUGAAAUGUAUGGCCUCUGCAGAACUUGUGGUUGCUGUGGCCCGGAGGUAAUA
rnacentral:lncRNA from 1 species